CACGUAGGCACCAAGCGUUGUCCGGAUUUAUUGGGCGUAAAGAGCUCGUAGGCGGUUCGGUAAGUCGGGUGUGAAAACUCUGGGCUCAACCCAGAGCCGCCACCCGAUACUGCUGUGACUUGAGUUCGGUAGGGGAGCGGGGAAUUCCUGGUGUAGCGGUGAAAUGCGCAGAUAUCAGGAGGAACACCGGUGGCGAAGGCGCCACUCUGGGCCACGACUGACGCUGAGGAGCGAAAGCAUGGGUAGCAAACAGG
rnacentral:rRNA from 1 species